AACGAACGCUGGCGGCAUGCCUAACACAUGCAAGUCGAACGAAGCCUUCGGGCUUAGUGGCGCACGGAUGCGUAACGCGUGGGAAUCUGCCCCUCGGUUCGGAAUAACAGUUAGAAAUGACUGCUAAUACCGGAUGAUGACGAAAGUCCAAAGAUUUAUCGCCGAGGGAUGAGCCCGCGUAGGAUUAGCUUGUUGGUGGGGUAAUGGCCCACAAGGCGACGAUCCUUAGCUGGUCUGAGAGGAUGAUCAGCCACACUGGGACUGAGACACGGCCCAGACUCCUACGGGAGGCAGCAGUGGGGAAUAUUGGACAAUGGGCGAAAGCCUGAUCCAGCAAUGCCGCGUGAGUGAUGAAGGCCUUAGGGUUGUAAAGCUCUUUACCAGGGAUGAUAAUGACAGUACCUGGAGAAUAAGCUCCGGCUAACUCCGUGCCAGCAGCCGCGGUAAU
rnacentral:rRNA from 1 species